AAAACGAGCAUGGCGUCUCGUGGAAUCUAAACCAUCAAACAGUAUUAUCCAAAAUGACCUGGUUACAACACAAUAGCAAAGAGGAACGUUUGCAAAGAGCAAUGUCGCAUUGUCCUGUAGGCUCAGGAUGCCGCUGAUUCCCAUCAAAUUUCUCCCAUCCUGACUGUCUGAUGGUUGCAGAAAGACCCAAAGAAACUGUAUACACCCCAAGGACACCCAAGGCUCAGCUACUGCAACCAAGAAGAGAUGAUACUCUGAACAUUGGUUGUGGAAUGGUCUCUCCAAAGGCUUCUGGCUGCUUCUUCACAGUCCCCAUCAGCGUUCAGAACACUUUCUGUAUUUCCUUCAGCCACAGAAACCUGGACCCCAGCAAUGCUAAAUGAGUUGUUAUUUUAGUCUAGACUCACUGACCCAACAUGUGGGCAGAUGUGGUAACUGUGUUAUCCAAGAGUUGCCAGCAACCACCCAUUCAACUGCCUCUUAUCAUGCAUCUUAUGUAUGGUCAGCCACAACACAUUAUCUGAAUCUUGAGGUGAGACAGUGAAAAUAAACAUAAGAGAUCAAUGUAGUCUUGGAACAUACCACUAAGUAGACUGCUCACAUUGCGGCUGGGUGAGGUGGUACAUGCCUUUAAUCCCUGUGCUCUGGAGGCAAAAGGCAAAGACAAGAGGAUCGAGAUCUCAUCUCAAAAUAUCCAGGGCUUGGCACUGAUGAGGCUGCUGACAGGAAAGUGCUAGCCUUAAGGCAUCAACAUCUGACCUGAGUUUAGAGCCCUGGGCCUCCAUUUUAAAGAGCUGGGUGUGGUGGUACCCAGUUGUUAUCCUAGUGCUUAAGAGGUGAAGACAGGAGCAUGCCUGGACCUCACUGGCCAAGCAGCCUAGAUUCCCUGGGGGUUCCAGCCAACAGGAGACCCUUCCUCAAGUAAGGAAACACACAGAAACAAGGGACAACAGCUAGGGAAUGGGAGCUGAGGCUGCCCUCUGGCUUCCACAUGCAUGUUCUGGAUGGACACACACACACACACACACACACACACACCUUUAAAAAUGAGGGUUAGAGUCUAGCUCAGUAAUAGCACACUUGUCUAGUACAUGCAAGCUCUUCAGUUUGGUUACAUACACACACACACACACACACACACACACACGCAAAUCUCUCUCUCUCUCUCUCUCUCUCUCUCUCUCUCUCACACACACACACACACAGACUGAGAGAGAAAUAAAAAGAAUAUCCACAUUAUAGGUGUUCGCUCAUCUUGACACCACUACUCCCAUUUUCUCCAUCCAAUCUUGAACCAGUUUUAUCUGAAAACAUCUUUUUUUCAUUUCUUUAUAUCCAUUGGUAUCACAAAGUUCUUGGCUCAAGUCUUCAUCUCUCUGGUCCCCAGAAGAACCUGUGACAAGAGUCUCUUUCAUCUUUCCGAUAUGUAAAUCUACUUGUAACAUUUACCUGCUCCAUGGGUUUCUAUGGCUCAUUGGCCCAGAUCAUUGCUUUAAAUUCCUCCAGCUUUUGGUCCUUCCCUGUGCUUCCUGCCUUGCCUCUGCUCCUCAUCCAUCGGUGUUUUUGUUUUCCUAUUACAUAGAGAUGCGGCUGCUGUUCUCAUCCAAGAGGCGAUAUUUAAAGUACUCAGAGGACAGAAGCUAACGGUGAGAACACAGCCACUCAUACUGUCACUAUUGAGGAUAUACUGGUGUGCAGGGGCUCUAGCUGCCCAGUCCCAGUCCCCUGAGCAGGAUCACCUUCCUGGUGAGCUUCUGCCCUGCUUUCUACAUCUCCCAGAGGAGCAGCCAUUGAGCCAGAGUUGAAAGUGUGGCUCUGUGUCACUGGGAAAGGUGGACAGACCUGAGUUUCCCCGCACCCAUGCAGAGAUGAAACGGUUGUGCACCAGGCACGGUUUGCAGACCUGAAAUGACCUCUUAUGUUUUCUAAGAUGUUCUUGGAAAAAACCCCAUGGCCUCAUCUCUGCUGGCUCUAUAAACACCUUUGCCUGUUUCUGAUCCUCAGAAUUUUAUCAGUAAAAGACAUCUACCUCGCACACAGGCCCACCAGCAGAUCUGUUUUGUGACCAGCUUUGAUCUUUUUUUAUUUUCCUGCUGACUAGGAAACCUUAUGUCCUCAAUUGACCUAAAACUAUGAGGAAAAAGUUCCAGCAUCUUUUCUAACAAGAAAGA